rnacentral:rRNA from 1 species
CACUCCUGCGGGAGGCAGCAGUGGGGAAUUUUGGACAAUGGGCGAAAGCCUGAUCCAGCAAUGCCGCGUGAGUGAAGAAGGCCUUCGGGUUGUAAAGCUCUUUUGUCAGGGAAGAAACGGUGAAAGCUAAUAUCUUUUGCUAAUGACGGUACCUGAAGAAUAAGCACCGGCUAACUACGUGCCAGCAGCCGCGGUAAUAAGUAGGGUGCAAGCGUUAAUCGGAAUUACUGGGCGUAAAGCGUGCGCAGGCGGUUUUGUAAGUCUGAUGUGAAAUCCCCGGGCUCAACCUGGGAAUUGCAUUGGAGACUGCAAGGCUAGAAUCUGGCAGAGGGGGGUAGAAUUCCACGUGUAGCAGUGAAAUGCGUAGAUAUGUGGAGGAACACCGAUGGCGAAGGCAGCCCCCUGGGUCAAGAUUGACGCUCAUGCACGAAAGCGUGGGGAGCAAACAGGAUUAGAUACCCGUGUAGUCCCAUGAU